CUACCCCCCAUUUCCGGCUCCUCCCCGACUUUUGGGACACCCUGUAUUUUAAUCCGACUUAGCAUGGUGUGUACCAUCUCCUUUGUGAACAAUUACAGCCAAAGUCAACAGUUGGAUAUGUUUGACAUUAUGUGUAUAAGCUGCCAUUGCCACAUUAAUUGAAGGAAACGAAAUGUCGAUACGCUUGUUUCAUAAAUCAACUAAGAUACCUGUAUAGUAAGAAAGAUGAGUCAUAAACAUGAAGAUAUUUUUAUCUCUUGAGGAUAAGGAUAUUUGCAGAUAAAUCAAUGAACAUGGAACGGGCAUUUUUUUAAUGGGAUUUAAUGUUUGAAGUUCCAAUCAGUUGAGUCCUGUGACAUGUCAUUAAUAAUCACCCACAAUCUAAUCGUCAUUUAAAAAAGAAAUAAAUUCGUACUUUGAUCCGUUUUUGUAGCAUGCAUUUAGUGAAUUUUUUUAGUUAUUUUAUGUUUUAGUUAGCUUUAUACUUCUUCGUCAAUUCUAUCUGUUUGUUGAAAAAGUUUUGUAAAAUCUAACAAUGUAUGUGUUUGCUUUUGAUAUCGACCACUAAAGUAACUGUGGAACUAAAUUCCUUAAAGUGAGUAAUAUUACUUGUAUGUAAUUGUAUGCUUUAACACCGAUUAGCAUAAUCUAACAAAACUAGAAUUGCAGAACGUACAGUUUCCAAUAAUAUACCAGGACUAACUACAGAGAUGAGUUCUCAAAACCGAAGUGCAAUUACUUUCUCGCAAGAUAUAUCUGGAAAUAUGAUUAAGCGUUUGAUCAGACUUGGAGGGGAAAAUAACAACAAAGAUAUCAUAAAGUAGAAGUAUUUAAUAGGUACAGUGGAAUAAUUAUUCAUCCAAGAAGAGUAUUAAAUUAUAGAUAAGUUUCUUUUGCAUGUCACAAAUUUUAAAAACAAUGUAAUGCUAGUAUAUUUCAAAUAAAUAGUUUAAUACCGGUAGAUAAA